AAUAAUUAACAAAAAAUAAAAAUUAGCUCCAGCUGGAUAUCCAAAAAAAAAAAAUUGUACUAGAAUACUAGUUGUCCAGAGAUUUCUUCUGCAGCUGGAUAUCCUGUCCAUAGAGGCAAGUAUUACAAAUUUUCUAUCUUGCUUAAGAAAAAUGUUUGAUUGUUAUUAUCCCUCAAUCCAGACCUGGUGGAAGAUGUUGAUCUUGUGCGGUUCUCAUGUCCUUCUGCAUCUUUUUUCUGAGAUGACUGGAGGGAGGAAGAAGAGACAGCAAUCUAGCAAAUUCAGAAAACAAUUUGCAUUUUCAAGAAGAAGACCUACAUCCCUAAAGGUAAAAAAGCUUUGUUUUGAAUUAGUUCUGCAAAGUUGUAAUAUGUAAGUACCGCCCAUCAAUGCAUAAAAAGAAGCAGCUUCUUAUUCUGAGACAUCUGUAUGAUGAAUUGAUGAUACAUGAGUUUCCUGGUUAAAUUGAGUAUUAAAAUGUAAAAAAAAAACAAACAAAACGCAACAUGGGUCGGUAGUUGAACAAUUUAUAUGGGAGACAGAGUUUUAAACUCGACGACCAAAUCGCCUAUCCCUCUUCUGAUACCAAGUCAAGGCCUGGAGAUAGCCAGCCAUGGUAAAGUCAGGCCAAAGAACAGUAGGGAAGUAGAGCUCAGCGUUAGCUUAUUGCCAUAGGAAGAAGUUACUGAUCCUUUGCUCUCCACUCGUUCUGAUCAGCAGCUCGGAAUAUACUGAAUUAGUGGGUGAGCUAGAGAGGAGAUUGGCUUUACUACGACUAAUCUGAGAGACAUUUUUCUUCUUAUUUUUAGACUCUAGCAUGCUUCAAAAGAAAGCAGCUCCCUGUCCUGAGAAAUCUGUAUAAUAUCUACUGGUGUAACAAAACAAGUUAAAAGUUGAACACCCUUUAUUUUUCUGA